CUGCAGACACCUGGGUGUGGAUAGAAAUACAAGUGGGCAUCUGCUCUACGAUCACUUGGAAUGGCAGUCCUUCUCUAAUCUCUUGGGUACUGGUAGGGUCUGUAGACUGGACUGGGCUUUUGGGAAUCAUGAACCUGUUUGCUGGGUUGGCAGUGCUAUCUCUGUUAUUCUCCAAGGUUUGGCUCCAAGAUUAUCCAAUAUGGGUGACGUGUGGCCCAGACUAUUUUCAGGUCAUAAUGGAGAAAGAUGUCUUUCGGAAUGGAACCAUUCUGCAACCUCAACAGGUGUACCUGGGGACUGGCUGCGAAGUAACUACGGUCCUAGAAGAUAAGUUUUUCUUCUUUUACUCAGUUUUACAUUGUGGAAUACAAAAAGAGAUGAAAUGGAACAUGCUAAUUUUCCGCAGUGUUCUUCACUGCCACCUUUCCUUAGAAGAUCCAGAAAGUGAUGUUCAUGACAUACCUCUGCAGUGUACAUUUGAUCAGGAAGUCGUACAUCAUCCUAGAUCGGAUAAUUUUCCUCCCCCUUUAAUUGGGACAGUUGAAACGCCUGGCUCUGUUCCACCUGCUGCUCCAUCUACCUCAGGAACUCAGCAAGACACUGGGCAUAGUGAGGGGGCAAGUGGCCAUCAGGAUCGAGGAGCAUCAGCCCUGGCCCUGAAUGCUUUCCUGGUGCCUGCCUUGUCACUGGCCUCUCCUGUAUCUUGGGGACACAAAACUUUUCAUCUAGCCAGCAAGGAUUCCCUCCCAUCAUGCCUCAGGAUUUCCACUAUGUCUUGGACUCUUGGCGCCAUUUACCCAGAAAUCUCUAGGAAGUUGUAAAUAUAUUGUCGAUACUGCUGUGAACUUUUAAAAUGGCCUUUGUCUUUCAAAGAGCUCUUAAAUAAACAGAGGGCACAAACCA
rnacentral:lncRNA from 1 species